rnacentral:rRNA from 2 species
CGGCUAACUACGUGCCAGCAGCCGCGGUAAUACGUAGGUGGCAAGCGUUGUCCGGGAUUUAUUGGGCGUAAAGCGAGCGCAGGCGGUUUUUUAAGUCUGAUGUGAAAGCCUUCGGCUCAACCGAAGAAGUGCAUCGGAAACUGGGAAACUUGAGUGCAGAAGAGGACAGUGGAACUCCAUGUGUAGCGGUGAAAUGCGUAGAUAUAUGGAAGAACACCAGUGGCGAAGGCGGCUGUCUGGUCUGUAACUGACGCUGAGGCUCGAAAGUAUGGGUAGCAAACAGGAUUAGAUACCCUGGUAGUCCAUACCGUAAACGAUGAAUGCUAAGUGUUGGAGGGUUUCCGCCCUUCAGUGCUGCAGCUAACGCAUUAAGCAUUCCGCCUGGGGAGUACGGCCGCAAGGCUGAAACUCAAAGGAAUUGACGGGGGCCCGCACAAGCGGUGGAGCAUGUGGUUUAAUUCGAAGCUACGCGAAGAACCUUACCAGGUCUUGACAUACUAUGCAAAUCUAAGAGAUUAGACGUUCCCUUCGGGGACAUGGAUACAGGUGGUGCAUGGUUGUCGUCAGCUCGUGUCGUGAGAUGUUGGGUUAAGUCCCGCAACGAGCGCAACCCUUAUUAUCAGUUGCCAGCAUUAAGUUGGGCACUCUGGUGAGACUGCCGGUGACAAACCGGAGGAAGGUGGGGAUGACGUCAAAUCAUCAUGCCCCUUAUGACCUGGGCUACACACGUGCUACAAUGGAUGGUACAACGAGUUGCGAACUCGCGAGAGUAAGCUAAUCUCUUAAAGCCAUUCUCAGUUCGGAUUGUAGGCUGCAACUCGCCUACAUGAAGUCGGAAUCGCUAGUAAUCGCGGAUCAGCAUGCCGCGGUGAAUACGUUCCCGGGCCUUGUACACACCGCCCGUCACACCAUGAGAGUUUGUAACACCCAAAGUCGGUGGGGUAACCU